rfam:Mycobacterium sp. KMS, complete genome.
AGCUCCACCGGGUCGACCGCGCGGGUGACGGUGAGGUAGUCGCGCAGCGCGAUGCCGUGCCGGUUCUC